rnacentral:rRNA from 1 species
ACUCCUACGGGAGGCAGCAGUGGGGAAUUUUGGACAAUGGGGGAAACCCUGAUCCAGCCAUGCCGCGUGAGUGAAGAAGGCCUUCGGGUUGUAAAGCUCUUUCAGCCGGAACGAAACGGUCACGGUUAAUACCCGUGAUUACUGACGGUACCGGAAGAAGAAGCACCGGCUAACUACGUGCCAGCAGCCGCGGUAAU